rnacentral:rRNA from 1 species
AUGAUGGAGAGGUUUGAGGACAUCUUGAUGAAGAAGGAGGAGGCAUGUGUCAAGCACUAUGACGUCAAGAAGGAAAAAAAGGCCGAGAGGUUUAACAUGUUCAUGACGGCGACCAAGAAGAAUCUCAAACUCGAAGAGAAGACCAUACUCGAAGAGAAGAAGGUUGAGAUCGCGACUGCUUUGGAGGAUUCGAAGAGGUUGACCUUGAAGAUGGACGACUUGAAUGAAGAUGCAAGGAUGAUCAUGCAAGCCGUACAUGUUAGGAUGUUGAAGUGCUUCGCAACCGAGCUUGAGACGUCAGAGAAGGAGGCGACUAGUGAGGAGGAGCCGACGACAGAGUGA